rnacentral:rRNA from 1 species
GACAGAGGGUGCAAACGUUGCUCGGAAUUACUGGGCGUAAAGGGCGCGUAGGCGGUGUGUCAAGUCAGGCGUGAAAGCCCCGGGCUCAACCUGGGAACCGCGCUUGAGACUGGCACGCUAGAGUUCGGGAGAGGAUGGUGGAAUUCCCAGUGUAGAGGUGAAAUUCGUAGAUAUUGGGAAGAACACCGAUGGCGAAGGCAGCCAUCUGGACCGACACUGACGCUGAGGCGCGAAAGCGUGGGGAGCAAACAGG